AUGAACGCUGGCGGCGUGCCUAAUACAUGCAAGUCGAGCGAACGGACGAGAAGCUUGCUUCUCUGAUGUUAGCGGCGGACGGGUGAGUAACACGUGGAUAACCUACCUAUAAGACUGGGAUAACUUCGGGAAACCGGAGCUAAUACCGGAUAAUAUUUUGAACCGCAUGGUUCAAAAGUGAAAGACGGUCUUGCUGUCACUUAUAGAUGGAUCCGCGCUGCAUUAGCUAGUUGGUAAGGUAACGGCUUACCAAGGCAACGAUGCAUAGCCGACCUGAGAGGGUGAUCGGCCACACUGGAACUGAGACACGGUCCAGACUCCUACGGGAGGCAGCAGUAGGGAAUCUUCCGCAAAGGGCGAAAGCCUGACGGAGCAACGCCGCGUGAGUGAUGAAGGUCUUCGUAUCGUAAAACUCUGUUAUUAGGGAAGAACAUAUGUGUAAGUAACUGUGCACAUCUUGACGGUACCUAAUCAGAAAGCCACGGCUAACUACGUG
rnacentral:rRNA from 1 species